rnacentral:rRNA from 1 species
GGGUUGUGAGGUUAAGCGACUAAGCGUACACGGUGGAUGCCCUGGCAGUCAGAGGCGAUGAAGGACGUGCUAAUCUGCGAAAAGCGUCGGUAAGGUGAUAUGAACCGUUAUAACCGGCGAUGUCCGAAUGGGGAAACCCAGUGUGAUUCGUCACACUAUCGUUAACUGAAUACAUAGGUUAACGAGGCGAACCGGGGGAACUGAAACAUCUAAGUACCCGAGGAAAAGAAAUCAACCGAGAUUCCCCCAGUAGCGGCGAGCGAACGGGGAGCAGCCCAGAGUCUGAAUCAGCUUGUGUGUUAGUGGAACGGUCUGGAAAGUCCGACGGUACAGGGUGAUAGUCCCGUACACCAAAAUGCACAGGUUGUGAACUCGAAGAGUAGGGCGGGACACGUGGUAUCCUGUCUGAAUAUGGGGGGACCAUCCUCCAAGGCUAAAUACUCCUGACUGACCGAUAGUGAACCAGUACCGUGAGGGAAAGGCGAAAAGAACCCCGGCGAGGGGAGUGAAAAAGAACCUGAAACCGUGUACGUACAAGCAGUGGGAGCACCUUCGGGUGUGACUGCGUACCUUUUGUAUAAUGGGUCAGCGACUUAUAUUCUGUAGCAAGGUUAACCGUAUAGGGGAGCCGCAGGGAAACCGAGUCUUAACUGGGCGUUAAGUUGCAGGGUAUAGACCCGAAACCCGGUGAUCUAGCCAUGGGCAGGUUGAAGGUUGGGUAACACUAACUGGAGGACCGAACCGACUAAUGUUGAAAAAUUAGCGGAUGACUUGUGGCUGGGGGUGAAAGGCCAAUCAAACCGGGAGAUAGCUGGUUCUCCCCGAAAGCUAUUUAGGUAGCGCCUCGUGAAUUCAUCUUCGGGGGUAGAGCACUGUUUCGGCUAGGGGGUCAUCCCGACUUACCAACCCGAUGCAAACUACGAAUACCGAAGAAUGUUAUCACGGGAGACACACGGCGGGUGCUAACGUCCGUCGUGAAGAGGGAAACAACCCAGACCGCCAGCUAAGGUCCCAAAGUCAUGGUUAAGUGGGAAACGAUGUGGGAAGGCACAGACAGCCAGGAUGUUGGCUUAGAAGCAGCCAUCAUUUAAAGAAAGCGUAAUAGCUCACUGGUCGAGUCGGCCUGCGCGGAAGAUGUAACGGGGCUAAACCAUGCACCGAAGCUGCGGCAGCGACACUAUGUGUUGUUGGGUAGGGGAGCGUUCUGUAAGCCUGCGAAGGUGACCUGUGAGGGUUGCUGGAGGUAUCAGAAGUGCGAAUGCUGACAUAAGUAACGAUAAAGCGGGUGAAAAGCCCGCUCGCCGGAAGACCAAGGGUUCCUGUCCAACGUUAAUCGGGGCAGGGUGAGUCGACCCCUAAGGCGAGGCCGAAAGGCGUAGUCGAUGGGAAACAGGUUAAUAUUCCUGUACUUGGUGUUACUGCGAAGGGGGGACGGAGAAGGCUAUGUUAGCCGGGCGACGGUUGUCCCGGUUUAAGCAUGUAGGCUGAUUGUCCAGGCAAAUCCGGAUAAUCAAGGCUGAGGUGUGAUGACGAGGCACUACGGUGCUGAAGUAACAAAUGCCCUGCUUCCAGGAAAAGCCUCUAAGCAUCAGGUAACAUCAAAUCGUACCCCAAACCGACACAGGUGGUCAGGUAGAGAAUACCAAGGCGCUUGAGAGAACUCGGGUGAAGGAACUAGGCAAAAUGGUGCCGUAACUUCGGGAGAAGGCACGCUGGUGUGUAGGUGAAGUCCCUGCGGAUGGAGCUGAGACCAGUCGAAGAUACCAGCUGGCUGCAACUGUUUAUUAAAAACACAGCACUGUGCAAACACGAAAGUGGACGUAUACGGUGUGACGCCUGCCCGGUGCCGGAAGGUUAAUUGAUGGGGUUAUCCGUAAGGAGAAGCUCUUGAUCGAAGCCCCGGUAAACGGCGGCCGUAACUAUAACGGUCCUAAGGUAGCGAAAUUCCUUGUCGGGUAAGUUCCGACCUGCACGAAUGGCGUAAUGAUGGCCAGGCUGUCUCCACCCGAGACUCAGUGAAAUUGAACUCGCUGUGAAGAUGCAGUGUACCCGCGGCAAGACGGAAAGACCCCGUGAACCUUUACUAUAGCUUGACACUGAACAUUGAGCCUUGAUGUGUAGGAUAGGUGGGAGGCUUUGAAGCGUGGACGCCAGUCUGCGUGGAGCCAACCUUGAAAUACCACCCUUUAAUGUUUGAUGUUCUAACGUUGGCCCCUUACCGGGGUUGCGGACAGUGUCUGGUGGGUAGUUUGACUGGGGCGGUCUCCUCCCAAAGCGUAACGGAGGAGCACGAAGGUUAGCUAAUCCUGGUCGGACAUCAGGAGGUUAGUGCAAUGGCAUAAGCUAGCUUGACUGCGAGCGUGACGGCGCGAGCAGGUGCGAAAGCAGGUCAUAGUGAUCCGGUGGUUCUGAAUGGAAGGGCCAUCGCUCAACGGAUAAAAGGUACUCCGGGGAUAACAGGCUGAUACCGCCCAAGAGUUCAUAUCGACGGCGGUGUUUGGCACCUCGAUGUCGGCUCAUCACAUCCUGGGGCUGAAGUAGGUCCCAAGGGUAUGGCUGUUCGCCAUUUAAAGUGGUACGCGAGCUGGGUUUAGAACGUCGUGAGACAGUUCGGUCCCUAUCUGCCGUGGGCGCUGGAGAAUUGAGGGGGGCUGCUCCUAGUACGAGAGGACCGGAGUGGACGCAUCACUGGUGUUCGGGUUGUCAUGCCAAUGGCACUGCCCGGUAGCUAAAUGCGGAAGAGAUAAGUGCUGAAAGCAUCUAAGCACGAAACUUGCCCCGAGAUGAGUUCUCCCUGAGACUUUAAGUCUCCUGAAGGAACGUUGAAGACGACGACGUUGAUAGGCCGGGUGUGUAAGCGCAGCGAUGCGUUGAGCUAACCGGUACUAAUGAACCGUGAGGCUUAACCUUACAACGCCGAAG